rnacentral:rRNA from 1 species
GAUGAACGCUGGCGGCGUGCCUAAUACAUGCAAGUCGAGCGAACAGAUGAGGAGCUUGCUCCUCUGACGUUAGCGGCGGACGGGUGAGUAACACGUGGAUAACCUACCUAUAAGACUGGGAUAACUUCGGGAAACCGGAGCUAAUACCGGAUAAUAUAUUGAACCGCAUGGUUCAAUAGUGAAAGACGGUUUUGCUGUCACUUAUAGAUGGAUCCGCGCCGCAUUAGCUAGUUGGUAAGGUAACGGCUUACCAAGGCAACGAUGCGUAGCCGACCUGAGAGGGUGAUCGGCCACACUGGAACUGAGACACGGUCCAGACUCCUACGGGAGGCAGCAGCAGGGAAUCUUCCGCAAUGGGCGAAAGCCUGACGGAGCAACGCCGCGUGAGUGAUGAAGGUCUUCGGAUCGUAAAACUCUGUUAUUAGGGAAGAACAAAUGUGUAAGUAACUAUGCACGUCCUGACGGUACCUAAUCAGAAAGCCACGGCUAACUACGUG